CGGCAGGUGAAGCGGUAACAGCUCAAAUUUGAAAUCUGGCCUCACUGGUCCGAGUUGUAAUUUGUAGAGGAUGCUUCGAGCAUGGUCUGGCCUAAGUUCCUUGGAACAGGACGUCAUAGAGGGUGAGAAUCCCGUAUGCGGUCAGGUGCCUACGCUCAUGUGAAGCUCCUUCGACGAGUCGAGUUGUUUGGGAAUGCAAGCUCAAAAUGGGUGGUAAAUUUCAUCUAAAGCUAAAUAUUGGCCAGAGACCGAUAGCGCACAAGUAGAGUGAUCGAAAGAUGAAAAGCACUUUGGAAAGAGAGUUAAACAGUACGUGAAAUUGUUGAAAGGGAAGCGCUU
rnacentral:rRNA from 1 species